rnacentral:lncRNA from 1 species
UCAACUGCACCAGAAGGCCUGACAGUUAAGAGAACCCAGUGAAGAAACCUUUUGCAGAGAGAGAAAAGAACCCUUUUGAAUGUGAUCAAUCACGCUGAUUUAUUUGGAUGAUUUCUCUUCUGGAUUUCCUUAAACCAGGGCAAACCCAGAGGUGCAACAGUGACCCGUGACGCAGUAGGGAGGGCUGUUUUCCAUGCCCAGUGAGGCCUGUUCAGCUUCCAUGAGGCCUUUAUGGAUGGCCUGCCUCCCAACUGGUACCUGGUCCCGUCACAGUCCCAGGACUCUAGACCUCGAGGCAGCCAGGUGGGUGCUACAGAUGGUGACCUCUCGGUGGCACAGCCUGGCCCUGCAGCAGAAUGCAGGGUUGGGGGCGCGAGGGGGUGUGGGGUUCGGGGGAGCUUUGCCCCUCCUCCCCCUCUCCAGGGCUGAGCAGCAGUGAAGAGCUUUCUGCAUAAGAGAGAGCAAGAGAGAUAAAUAAACCCACAUCUUCCUCUGAAA